CAGCAGCCACGGUAAUACGUAGGGUGCAAGCGUUAAUCGGAAUUACUGGGCGUAAAGCGUGCGCAGGCGGUGUUGUAAGACUGAUGUGAAAUCCCCGGGCUCAACCUGGGAACUGCAUUGGUGACUGCAGCGCUGGAGUGCGGCAGAGGGGGAUGGAAUUCCGCGUGUAGCAGUGAAAUGCGUAGAUAUGCGGAGGAACACCGAUGGCGAAGGCAAUCCCCUGGGCCUGCACUGACGCUCAUGCACGAAAGCGUGGGGAGCAAACAGGAUUAGAUACCCGAGUAGUCCCUGUCUCUUAUAC
rnacentral:rRNA from 1 species